rnacentral:pre_miRNA from 1 species
ACGUUGUGGAUCAGCCACUACAUCAUAGUCACGUGAUUUCAAUACGAAAACAUUUCACUUUUUCCCAUAUAACCGUUAUCCUUGCAGUUAAUAGGCAGCCAACGACAGUUGUUACUGUUAUUGUUGUUGCCGCAACUGCUGUUACAGCAGUUACUGAACUGAACGUAUACAGUGGUUGGGAAAAACUUCAUGUUUUCGUUCUUAUAAUAUUUCAUGUGAUGUGACGUAGUGGAACAUUCCUGACG